rnacentral:lncRNA from 1 species
CUAUUUUCAACUAAAAGCCAUAUUCAGCGGAGAAACUUUCCUUUCCUUUUCAUUUCUUCCUUUUCUUCAUAGUUUACAGAUUGUAUACUUCACCUUUCUCCUUCCUUGUGGCAACAUUAUAGUCAUCAUCAAACCCUAAUCAUAAGAGGAUCUCUGUUAUCAGACCAAUGGCGGAGGAUUCAUACGAGGAAGAAUGCGAUUACCUAUUCAAGUCGGUGCUGAUCGGAGACUCAGCGGUCGGAAAAUCAAACCUCUUAUCAAGAUUCUCCAAAGACGAGUUCCGGUUAGACUCUAAACCAACCAUCGGAGUUGAGUUCGCUUACAGGAACGUUCACGUCGGAGAUAAAAUCAU